UACGUAGGGUGCAAGCGUUGUCCGGAAUUAUUGGGCGUAAAGAGCGUGUAGGCGGCCCGAUUAGUCCGCUGUGAAAGUCCAGGGCUCAACCCUGGAAUGCCGGUGGAUGCUGUCGGGCUAGAGUCCGGAAGGGGCGAGUGGAAUUCCUGGUGUAGCGGUGAAAUGCGCAGAUAUCAGGAGGAACACCAACGGCGAAGGCAGCUCGCUGGGACGGAACUGACGCUGAGGCGCGAAAGCGUGGGGAGCGAACAGG
rnacentral:rRNA from 1 species